CUGCGGAAGGAUCAUUACCGAGUGCGGGCCCCUCGGGGCCCAACCUCCCACCCGUGUUGCCCGAACCUAUGUUGCCUCGGCGGGCCCCGCGCCCGCCGACGGCCCCCCUGAACGCUGUCUGAAGUUGCAGUCUGAGACCUAUAACGAAAUUAGUUAAAACUUUCAACAACGGAUCUCUUGGUUCCGGCAUCGAUGAAGAACGCAGCGAAAUGCGAUAACUAAUGUGAAUUGCAGAAUUCAGUGAAUCAUCGAGUCUUUGAACGCACAUUGCGCCCUCUGGUAUUCCGGAGGGCAUGCCUGUCCGAGCGUCAUUGCUGCCCUCAAGCCCGGCUUGUGUGUUGGGCCCCGUCCCCCCCGCCGGGGGGACGGGCCCGAAAGGCAGCGGCGGCACCGCGUCCGGUCCUCGAGCGUAUGGGGCUUCGUCACCCGCUCUAGUAGGCCCGGCCGGCGCCAGCCGACCCCCAACCUUUAAUUAUCUCAGGUUGACCUCGGAUCAGGUAGGGAUACCCGCUGAACUUAAGCAUAUCAAUAA
rnacentral:rRNA from 1 species